rnacentral:rRNA from 1 species
GAUGAACGCUGGCGGCGUGCCUAAUACAUGCAAGUCGAGCGAACAGACGAGGAGCUUGCUCCUCUGACGUUAGCGGCGGACGGGUGAGUAACACGUGGAUAACCUACCUAUAAGACUGGGAUAACUUCGGGAAACCGGAGCUAAUACCGGAUAAUAUAUUGAACCGCAUGGUUCAAUAGUGAAAGACGGCUUUGCUGUCACUUAUAGAUGGAUCUGCGCCGCAUUAGCUAGUUGGUAAGGUAACGGCUUACCAAGGCAACGAUGCGUAGCCGACCUGAGAGGGUGAUCGGCCACACUGGAACUGAGACACGGUCCAGACUCCUACGGGAGGCAGCAGUAGGGAAUCGUCCGCAAUGGGCGGAAGCCUGACGGAGCAACGCCGCGUGAGUGAUGAAGGUCUUCGGAUCGUAAAACUCUGUUAUUAGGGAAGAACAAAUGUGUAAGUAACUAUGCACGUCUUGACGGUACCUAAUCAGAAAGCCACGGCUAACUACGUG